CAUAUAUUCGGACAGUCGGUCUACCGAGCAAUAUCACUCGCUCGGUGUAAGAUCUUCCCUCUGUCGA
rnacentral:pre_miRNA from 1 species